GUCUGUUGUCUGAUGAACUGCUGUGGGCUGCGACACUUGGCCUGUCUCACAUUAACAAAAGACUCCUCUUGGGUUUAUGUUGAGAUUGUUUUUAUCAUAAAUUAAGCCAAGCAGCUGGAUUUUUCCUGACAUCAGAGGCAUCAGAGAGAGAGAGCGAGAGAGAGAGAGAGAGAGAGAGAGAGAUCCAAAACUGGACAGCAGCGACUAAAAUGGUUUUAUAUCACAUCCCGCUGUUUAUUUUAAAAGCUUUUUUAAACAAACGGAGGCGUUACUGUCAGCCACCCACCACAUAAUGUGAGCUAGGGUCAUGUUAGUUUAAACAUUCAGUUUGGCAUGUGAAUGUGUCUUAUUUAUUAUUAUUAUUAUUAUUAUUAUUAUUAUUGUACACCUGCUCAUUUUGCUACAUGUCAUCCCCUCACUCCAUUACUUGCCCUAAUAAAGGCAAAAAUACAGAUUCUUGUAAAGAAGUAUAGGGCAGACUUUUCUCUCACUUCCUGUUUUUUUGGCCACAGCUUCAUCUUUGGCCUUCCAUCAUUGUUCACUGUCCAGAGUGAAAUGCACACAACAAUAGCAGCUUUCGGGCACAGAGACUUGCUCAACAUCCAUCAGACACAGAGCGACAGGAACUUGAUAAAGAAAAGGGAAACCGAUAAGGCUCAAUUGCUCUGUCGCUGAUCCGUAUCUGAGUGGGCAAACGUCAGGCCUUACGCCACUGGGAGAGCGGAUAUGUACUUCGUCUGCUGCAGUCACGCUUUGGACCGGGCUGCCGUUUAUGUCUUCAUAAUGAGCUGAACAGCUGCUGGGGUCAGUUCAUUAGGGUGUGCAGUAUAAUGGGUGGUAACUUCAAGUGGACAAUGCACUUUGUUCACUCAGGAAUUGUUAUGCAUCAUUUACCCCCUCUGGAGUUAUCUCACCAUAAAAUCAGAUCAUAUCUGCUCUCACACUUUACAGCAUGCAGAUACCUGUGCAGUGACAAUGGCUCACUCCAUUACCCUAACUUUAACUUUCACUGUGAUAUAUGUGACAUUACGGCC
rnacentral:lncRNA from 1 species